CGUUAAUUCGAGGAUUUUCGGUAUGGGUUACGCGCGAAUAUUGUUACGACACCAACUCGCGCGGUUAACGCGCGAGAGAGUGAACGUUCCCAGCAUUCUUUGCAACAACAGUAAGUCCAUGUUGUUGAACCGCGAAAGUUGAACGAGGCUGAAAAAAGGCAGACAAAAAGGGAAGAACUUCGCUUGGAGCUGGAAAGCUUUGAUGGCGAGCGAUUGAACUCGGAUUGCAGGUAACUCCAGACCCUCCUCUUUGAACAGUGUUAAAGGAUAGUCUAUUUGAAAGAUUUCCAUGGACCUUAAGGGGACAGUAUAAUGAAUUGUGCAUGUGCUGAAGACAAAAUACCUGAGGACAAGACAGGAGGAGGAUAUCAUCCACAAGCUUAUUCUAGAAUAAUGAUUUUUUUGUUUUUUGCAAUCCAGGACCAGGUAAACACUUGUGUUCUUAUGCAAUGAUCAAAUCAAAACUUAACCUAGUUUCUUCAGGGGAAUCCCCCAAGGGCAUCCCUACAGGGUAGCCAAGUCAUCAAAUUCUACAGCAGAAAAAAAGGAGUAAAAAUGCACCAAUUUUUUUUCCUUUUUUAAUUGAUGCACUAUUAUUAUAGGAUCCAAAAUAGUCAGGGAAAUUUUCGUUUUUCAAAAUCAGGGAAUUUUCAGGGAAUAAAUGGAGAAAAUGGGAAGUUUCCCUUUUGUACUGUACCUGUAAAAAAAAAAAUAACUAGACCAAACUACUGAACUAACUCCAUUCAAAUUAAAACCUGCAGUGCAACACACUCUCAUUAAGUGACCACCAAACUAAGACCAGACACUACUCAACUUAUACCCCUACAGUAGUCACUACAGUAUUUCUUGACCUCAACAGAACUCACAUGAUGUUCUUGAACCAGUCUCAACACAAACUUCACCAAAAGUAAACCAGUUGAAUCAGACCAUAACUG